UCGGACGAGCUAUUUUGAAGCGCAGGAGCUGUUAUAGGUCUUCUUAUAGCUGCUGCCGGUGGACCAUUAAACUCUUGUUAUUUUAUGUAAUCUGAGCGUCUUAUUUUAAUAAGUCAAAACUUUCAACAACGGAUCUCUUGGUUCUGGCAUCGAUGAAGAACGCAGCGAAAUGCGAUAAGUAAUGUGAAUUGCAGAAUUCAGUGAAUCAUCGAAUCUUUGAACGCACAUUGCGCCCAUUAGUAUUCUAGUGGGCAUGCCUGUUCGAGCGUCAUUUCAACCCUUAAGCCUAGCUUAGUGUUGGGAAUCUACUUCUCUUAGGAGUUGUAGUUCCUGAAAUACAACGGCGGAUUUGUAGUAUCCUCUGAGCGUAGUAAUUUUUUUCUCGCUUUUGUUAGGUGCUAUAACUCCCAGCCGCUAAACCCCCAAUUUUUUGUGGUUGACCUCGGAUCAGGUAGGAAUACCCGCUGAACUUAAGCUAAUCAAUAAGCGGAGGAA
rnacentral:rRNA from 1 species